CGUGCUAAUCUGCGAUAAGCGUCGGUAAGGUGAUAUGAACCGUUAUAACCGGCGAUUUCCGAAUGGGGAAACCCAGUGUGACUCGUCACACUAUCAUUACGUGAAUACAUAGCGUAAUGAAGCGAACCGGGGGAACUGAAACAUCUAAGUACCCCGAGGAAAAGAAAUCAACCGAGAUUCCCCCAGUAGCGGCGAGCGAACGGGGAGCAGCCCAGAGUCUGAAUCAGCUUGUGUGUUAGUGGAACGGUCUGGAAAGUCCGACGGUACAGGGUGAUAGUCCCGUACACCAAAAUGCACAGGUUGUGAACUCGA
rnacentral:rRNA from 1 species